rnacentral:rRNA from 1 species
CAGUAGCCACGGUAAUACGAAGGGGGCUAGCGUUGCUCGGAAUUACUGGGCGUAAAGGGAGCGUAGGCGGACUGUUUAGUCAGAGGUGAAAGCCCAGGGCUCAACCUUGGAAUUGCCUUUGAUACUGGCAGUCUUGAGUACGGAAGAGGUAUGUGGAACUCCGAGUGUAGAGGUGAAAUUCGUAGAUAUUCGGAAGAACACCAGUGGCGAAGGCGACAUACUGGUCCGUUACUGACGCUGAGGCACGAGAGCGUGGGGAGCAAACAGGAUUAGAUACCCCCGUAGUCCCUGUCUCUUAUAC